rnacentral:rRNA from 1 species
CACGAAUUAAGACGAGCUAAUUAACUGUAAAUGUUAGUUUUAGGGAUGUAGCAAAAUUAUGUUAAACUUUUAAUUAGGGGUGAUAGGCUUAUCAAGUCUUAUUAUAACUUGUUGUUUACAAAAUGUAUUUAGUACAUCGCCAACUAAAGAGUGCAAAGAUUCUUUAGAGUUAUUAAGGAUAGGUCGGUGCCGAUGUUAAGUUUUAACUAACAGACAGUGUAAUAGCAGAACAUUUUUUUUAUAAAAAUUUAUUAAUAAUAGUAAACUAUAUAUAAUAUGAUGCAAUAUAAAUAAUGUUAUUAUAAGUAGCUAAAAAUAAAUAUUUUUCAUGAACUCGGCAAUAUUUUCUCCAACUGUUUAUCAAAAACAUAGCUAGUAGUAAUCAAUUAUUAGUAUUUUCUGCUCAAUGAAUAUUAAAUGGCCGCAGUACCCUGACUGUGCUAAGGUAGCAUAAUCAAUUGGCUUGUAAUUUAAGUCUUGUAUGAAUGAAAAUAUGAGGGAAACACUAUAUUAAAAGUACAUUGGUAAAUUACUUUGUAAGUGAAAAUACUUACAGUAAAUUAUAAGACGAGAAGACCCUAGAAAUUUUUAACACUUUGUAAAAAUGGUUUUUGUUGGGGCAACAUUGUAACACAUAACUUACAUCAAGUACAAGAAACGUAUUGUUAGAUUAAAUUACUCUAGGGAUAACAGCGUAAUGUAUUAACGUUUGCGACCUCGAUGUUGGAUUAGGAAAUAUAAGCUUAGAA